AUUGAACGCUGGCGGCGUGGCUAAAACAUGCAAGUCCGGGGAACCCGCAAGGGAACACCGGCGCAAGGGUGAGGAAUACAUUCGUACGUGCCCCAAGGUGGGGGAGUAGGCGUGGGAAACUGCGCGUAAUACCCCAUGUGCUCUUCGGAGGAAAGCUUCGGCGCCUCGGGAGCGGCGAAUGUCCUAUCAGGUAGUUGGCGGGGUAAGUGGCCCACCAAGCCGAAGACGGGUAGCAGGUGUGAGAGCACGGCCUGCCACAUCGGGACUGAGACACUGCCCGGACUCCUACGGGAGGCUGCAGUAACGAAUAUUCGCAAUGCGCGCAAGCGUGACGGAGCGACGCCGCG
rnacentral:rRNA from 1 species